rnacentral:rRNA from 1 species
CCCUUAGAUGUUCUGGGCCGCACGCGCGCUACACUGACGGAUUCAACGAGCUUACAACCUUGGCCGAAAGGUCUGGGUAAUCUCCAAAAUCCGUCGUGAUGGGGAUAGAUUAUUGCAAUUAUUAAUCUUCAACGAGGAAUGCCUAGUAAGCGCAAGUCAUCAGCUUGCGUUGAUUACGUCCCCGCCCUUUGUACACACCGCCCGUCGCUCCUACCGAUUGAAUGGUCCGGUGAAGCGUUUGGACUAUGGUUUUCUGAUGGUCCGCCGUUGGAUUACCGUGGGAAGUUCGUUAAACCUUAUCAUUUAGAGGAAGGAGAAGUCGUAACA